GAAAGGGCUCACUCCUGAGGGCAUCAUAGAGUGGCUGCAUGAGUUUGGAUGCUUCAGGUAUCCAGGACCUGCAGUAUGUGAUGAGUCCCAAGAAAGCAUGAAGAGAGUGAUGAGUUGCAGGAUAGCUUGCACCCGUUGUGAGGUUAGAUGUUUGGUGCCAUGGGAAAGGCAAUGUCCCAAGAAGACCACAGAGGGCCGGCACCAUUGUAGCUUUGAUUUUGAGGCCUUGCAACCUGCAGCAGCGAGGAAACAUAGGAGAUCUUCUGAGUCACGCUCUGCAAUAAGCAAAUUAGGAGCACAGAGAAGGAGGUCAUCAACAUAUUGAAGUAGAAUAACAUCCAGAUGAGAUUUCUGCCAGGGAUCCACAACUAGAGACAUGGCAUGAGCAAACUGUGUGGGAGAGUUCUGAGCUCCCUGAGGCAUAACAGUCCAGGUAUAUUGUUGUCCUUCAUGUGUGAAGGCGAAGAGAAAAUGGCAGGAAGGGUCAAGGGGGACACUGAAAAAGGCAUUAGCUAGAUCCACUACAGAAAAAAAAAUUGUUGAAUUGGGUGGCACCUGGGACAAAAGGGUAUGGGGGGUUUGGAACAAUAGCAGUGUCCUUUAUGGUUACUUCUUUAACAGCACGGAGGUCCUGUACCAUGCGGUACUGGUCGGGUUGGCCCUUAACAGUUCGCUUUUUAACAGGGAAAAGUGGGGUGUUGCAUGGAGAUGUGCACUUGGUGAGGGCACCUUUGGCAAGCAGAGACUCAACUUGUUUGGUGAUGGCUUCAGCUUGUGCUGGCUUCAGAGGAUACUGAGGUCUACGAGGAGGAAGUGCUCCAGGCAGGAGCUGGACC